GAUGAACGCUAGCGAUAGGCUUAACACAUGCAAGUCGAGGGGCAGCACAAGGUAGCUUGCUAUCUGGGUGGCGACCGGCGCACGGGUGCGUAACGCGUAUGCAACUUGCCCUAUACAGGAGGAUAACCCGUCGAAAGACGGACUAAUACUUCGUAUGCUCACAACUUGGCAUCCAGUGGUGAGGAAAGAAAUUCGGUAUAGGAUAGGCAUGCGUCCCAUUAGCUUGUUGGUGAGGUAACGGCUCACCAAGGCAACGAUGGGUAGGGGAACUGAGAGGUUUAUCCCCCACACUGGUACUGAGACACGGACCAGACUCCUACGGGAGGCAGCAGUGAGGAAUAUUGGUCAAGGGGCGCGAGCCUGAACCAGCCAAGUCGCGUGAAGGAGGACUGUCUUAUGGAUUGUAAACUUCUUUUAUACGGGAAUAACAAGAGUCACGUGCGACUCCCUGCAUGUACCGUAUGAAUAAGCAUCGGCUAACUCCGUG
rnacentral:rRNA from 1 species